AUUGAACGCUGGCGGCAGGCCUAACACAUGCCAGUCGAGCGGAUGAAGGGAGCUUGCUCCUGGAUUCAGCGGCGGACGGGUGAGUAAUGCCUAGGAAUCUGCCUGGUAGUGGGGGAUAACGUCCGGAAACGGGCGCUAAUACCGCAUACGUCCUGAGGGAGAAAGUGGGGGAUCUUCGGACCUCACGCUAUCAGAUGAGCCUAGGUCGGAUUAGCUAGUUGGUGGGGUAAAGGCCUACCAAGGCGACGAUCCGUAACUGGUCUGAGAGGAUGAUCAGUCACACUGGAACUGAGACACGGUCCAGACUCCUACGGGAGGCAGCAGUGGGGAAUAUUGGACAAUGGGCGAAAGCCUGAUCCAGCCAUGCCGCGUGUGUGAAGAAGGUCUUCGGAUUGUAAAGCACUUUAAGUUGGGAGGAAGGACAGUAAGUUAAUACCUUGCUGUUUUGACGGUACCAACAGAAUAAGCACCGGCUAACUUCGUG
rnacentral:rRNA from 1 species